CCGAAGGCAGACGCGUCACCAGCUGAGCCACCCAGGCGCCCAGCGCUGGGUCGUCUUUUCAAGCCAAGUUUUUAUUCAGUUAAUUAUUAUUUUGUACUCUCAGUUGUUGAACGAAAGGCCGGCGGGCCAGUGUUGUCAUGUCAUCUCUAGGACUCUUGAGAGGAAUAAGGGCUCCGUGAAUCAGUGUUUUUUUAACUCUUUGUCCAUUGGAAAAAGCCCUUGAAGCUAACGGAUGCCUGACAGUUUUUGUUUCACAACUCAAGAGAGUUGUUUGUUUUGGUCUUUUGGUCUCUGUUAACUCAGAGGGGCCUUCAGUCUCCAGAUUAUAUGACCCGUGGAGUCCCAGUUGCUCCCGCGGUAAGUGCUGUGUUUCCGACGGGCACUUGCAUCUGCUUUGGUGUUUAUGUGUCUGUCUCCUUAGACGGAUGGGCGUCUCCUUGAGAGGACUGACUGUGCUCACCACCUCUUGGGCCGGGAGCUUCUUGAAAGGGGGAGGGGCAGCCUCACUCCAAGAUCGGCCGCUCCAUAAAGCAGGGUAGAGGCUUAGAGAAGGUGCGUUGGGAAGCCUAGACGGGUUGGUACACUCUGAAAGAUGUGCUUUCAAUUUGUGCAAUAAGCCAGGAAGGUCAUUCUGAUGUUCCCCAUUUCACGGUGUAGAUAGCUGAGUUUGGUUGGAACGAGUCUUGUCCAAGAUUCCUGACAUUGGCCAGUUGUGAGCAAAACAGCAGGACGCUGUCUCUGGAGCCCACGAUCUUUCUUUGUACUUUAAAUGACUGUUCCUGGCCCCAGAGUCUGUUCAUAGAUUCCCCGUCCAAGAAGUUGGAGGGGAAAUAGACAAUUUUAGUGUAUUUCAUCAUCCUGAGUACUGUUUCUCUCCAGCGAUAUCUGUCCAUUUCUUGAAACGUAGAUCUGGAAAGUCACACAUGCGUGUCUCUAGGCACUUGGGGCUCUGCCGCCGUUGGGAUUUCAGAAGGACCGUUUCUUUCGUGCAGUAUUGCCUUUGAACUUGGACUCGUUUUGGAACUCUCUAGUCAUUGACAGGAUUCUCUAACCUACACAGUGAUCUCAUUUGGAGACCAUUGUUUUCACUCCUCAGAGGAGGGCCUAGUCUGAACUUUCCAGAGUACUGAUAAAGCCUUGGAGCCCCACCGUCAUGGGCCUGGACUUGGCCGAGCCCAACCACAGACACGAGGGGCGACCACCGCAGGUCCGCAGGACAGUGUGUGAGGUCAGCUCCCCACGGCUGCCCAGAACCACCAGUCCUGCUCCCGCAUGCUGUGUGUGCUCUGUGGCACGAGGCCUGCAGGCGCACGAACAGCUUGGGGUGGUUACGGCUGUUACUUUUGCCUUUGCUUCUGGACCUGCUGCGGGGACAGAGCUGUCUGUCUCAUUAUUCCCUCCCUGGGUGGCAGGUAUGGAGAGACGACCCCUGUGGUGAUUUCUUUUUUUUUGUCGUUGUUGUUUCCUUUCAUUCUUAGUUUUGUACCUUUCGUACACAUGGCCGAGUUCGGAUACCCCCACUCCUCUGAGCUGAAAGCAGUAAAUACACAAUGAUGCGUUAAUAAAUCAAAAGUUUAAUCAUUCUGCGCAUCCUCCGCCCUUGUGGGAAAAAACAACCCAGACUUCCCAACAGAUUUGUCAAUAGUCAGUCUGGACUUUUACAAUCAUCUCAGAAGCGGUAAGACCACGCAGCCCGGCCUACUGUUCACUGACCACGCUGGCUAGUUACAUUAAUGUACAUCGGAUGCAAUUAGAAAUUGAGCUCCUCAGUCACAUAGCCCCGUGGUUUCCCACCAGAAAUAAUUUGGCCGCUGCCAGGUGACAUUCAGGCACGUCCCGGGACGUGAUGGUUGGGAAUGUCUGAGGAUGUGCUUGGUGGCUCCCUGUGGGAUGGCAGACGCCGGUGGGGAAGACAGUUUCUCAUCGGGUCGGUUCUUUGAAUGAGCAUCUGCAGACUCUCGAGCCCUGCACGGACCGUCUGCUGCAGUUUGUUUCAGACCCCGUUCUCCCGGGGUCACUGUGCUGGCGAGGUUACGACAGGUGCUCUGUGGGUGUAGGGCUCCUCACGGAGUGUCUGCACACCCCUGCCACGCAGGAGCUCCCCAUCUGACGGAUGCCUGAGAACCAGAGGGCCGCUGGCACACUCGGCCUGCUCACGGUGGCAGGGAACGAGUGGCUUCCACAAGCAAGCAGGCUUCCCCGUGCCCCUGCUGCCCGAGCGCAGCCUGGGUCUCUUGGCUUGGGAGCGCAAGCCCUUUCCACUCCAUCCUCACCGCCUUCACUGGCAAAGUUGUUAAGGACGGAGGGGGUCUGUGGACAACAGGAGACCAGGCCGACCCUCAGAACCGAGAAUGGUCAUUCCGUCUCCACUCUCCAUGCCGCUCUCGACGGGAAAGCCAGAGAGGGAGGAAAUGCGAUUCUUUGUCGCUCGUUGUGCAAGUCUGAGGCAGUUAAGGGUCUAUCCGAGGGGACAGCUCAUGGUUCCCCGAACACUUUCUUCCUGGAAGAUCUCCUUAAAGGAGAGAAGGCCUCUCCCGGCUCCCUGCGCUGAUUCACUGGGAUUUAUGGACAAGUGGUGCACCAUUUGAGAAAGAGUUUCUACUCAUACUAUUUCUCAUAUGUGCAAAGGCCAUUUCUCCGAACUGAUUUGUGCAUACAAGGUAACAUGUCGCAUGUGCCUCUGGGACAUUGCACUUGCAAAAGACAAGUUGUGCAUGUCAUUGGGCACUUACUGUUAGGUGUCUCAACCGAAGGAAUGAUUUUGGAGCGGAAAUCCAAGCGUAUUCUGCUGAGCCGCACACGGGGAACUCAGUACUCAACUUCAGCUGCUUUGAUGUUGCAGUUAAAUUAAAAAAACAAAAAACA